GGGCUCGUAGCUCAAUUGGAUAGAGCACCGCCACUUGUGCGGAAGGACGCGGGUUCGAUUCUCCCUGUGUCCU
rnacentral:tRNA from 1 species